rnacentral:ncRNA from 1 species
AAUAAAAUUAUUUAUGGUUUAAAAAUUUAUUAUAAAUUUAUUUUACAUAUAAAUUUUAGUGUUAAUUUUUAAUUUAUUUAAAUAAUAAUUAAUAUUAUUUGUAGUAAUUAAAAUUAAAAAUUUAAGUAAUUAAGAUUUAGUAAUAUUUAAAUUAAUAACAAAUUUUGUGCCAGCAGUUGCGGUUAUACAAAAAUUAAAUUAAAUUUUUUUAGGAAUUAAUUAAUAAUAGAUUAUAUAAUAAAAUUAAAAUUUAAAUUAUUAAGUGAAAUUUUAAUUUAUGAAAAUUUUAUAUUGAAUUAUGAAUUAAAAAAUUUUAUUAAAAACUAGGAUUAGAUACCCUAUUAUUAAAAAUUUAAAUUAAUAAUACUAAAAUAGUAUAUAAUUAUUUAUAAAAACUUAAAUAAUUUGGCGGUAUUUUAGUUUAUUUAGAGGAAUCUGUUUAUUAAUUGAUAUUCCACGAAUAAAUUUACUUAAUUUAUUUAAUUUUGUAUAUCGUUGUUAAAAAAAUAUUUUAAAAUAAUAAUAAUAUUUUAAUUUUUAUAUUAAAAGUUAAAUCAGAUCAAGAUGCAGAUUAUAAUUAAGAAUAUAAUGGAUUACAAUAAAUUUAUUUAAUUGGAUGUUAUUUUUAAAAAUUAAUUGAAAUUGGAUUUAAAUGUAAUUUUAUUUAAUUUAUUAAAAUGAUUUUAAUUUAAAAUAUGUACAUAUUGCCCGUCGCUUUCAUUAAUAAAUUGAAAUAAGUCGUAACAAAGUAGAGGUACUGGAAAGUGUUUCUAGAAAGAGUA